UACGUAGGGUGCAAGCGUUAAUCGGAAUUACUGGGCGUAAAGCGUGCGCAGGCGGUUUUGUAAGUCUGACGUGAAAUCCCCGGGCUCAACCUGGGAAUUGCGAUGGAGACUGCAAGGCUUGAAUCUGGCAGAGGGGGGUAGAAUUCCACGUGUAGCAGUGAAAUGCGUAGAGAUGUGGAGGAACACCGAUGGCGAAGGCAGCCCCCUGGGUCAAGAUUGACGCUCAUGUACGAAAGCGUGGGGAGCAAACAGG
rnacentral:rRNA from 1 species